AUAAGAAGUCGUACCUGCCCAGUGAAAAUUUAACGGCCGCGGUAUCCUGACUGUGCAAAGGUAGCAUAAUAAUUUGCCUUAUAAUUGAAGGCUGGUAUGAAUGGUUUGACAUGGGUAAAUCUGUCUCUAUAAAAUUUUUUAGAAUUUUAUUUCUAGGUGAAAAAGCCUAGUUUUUAUUAAAAGACAAGAAGACCCUAUCGAGCUUUAAAGAAGUUGGUAAAAUUUAAUAAUUGUAUAAUAAUUAAGUUAUCAAAAAUUUUGGUUGGGGCAACCUAGGAACAAACAAAGCUUCCUAUGACCUAAAUAAACAUUUAGUUAUGAUCCAUAAAUUUUGAUUAAAAGAAAUAGUUACCGUAGGGAUAACAGCAUUAUUUUUUUUAAGAGUUCUUAUCGAAAAAAAAGUUUGUGACCUCGAUGUUGGACCAGAAUAUCCUAAAGAUGCAGAAGUCUUUAAGGGUUGGUCUGUUCGACCAUUAAAAUUCUA
rnacentral:rRNA from 1 species